UUGGAUAUUUUUUGUUAUUACGUUUUCUGAAUUUGAUUUAUCAUAUUGACCUUCUUUCUGUAUAUUUUUGUGCGUUCUGAUAACUUUGUAACAUUGAUAUCUCUAACUAUUAAUAUUUUUCCUUGAUAAUUAAGUUAUGUAU
rnacentral:sRNA from 1 species